UUUUAUUCUCAGGGCGGGGCGAAAUUCCCCACCGGCGGUAUGUUUUUAGCAAAAUCUAAAGAUAAGCCCGCGAGCGCUCGAUUCGUCGAGGUCAGCAGAUCUGGUGAGAUGCCAGAGCCGACGGUCAUAGUCCGGAUGAGAGAGAAUGAAA
rnacentral:ncRNA from 3 species